GACAAACGCUGGCGGCGUGCGUAACACAUGCAAGUUGAACGCGAAUAUAUAAGAAGUGGUAACACGGAUUGUAUGUUUGAGUAGCGGACGGGUGAGUACAACAUGAGAACCUAUCCUUCAAAGGGGGACAACGUUUGGAAACGGACGCUAAUACCCCAUAAGCCGAGAGGUUAAAGCAGCGAUGCGAUGGAGGAGGGGCUCGUGUCCUAUCAGCUAGUUGGUGGGGUAAUGGCCUACCAAGGCGACGACGGGUAGCCGGCCUGAGAGGGUGUACGGCCACACUGGAACUGAGAUACGGUCCAGACUCCUACGGGAGGCAGCAGUGGGGAAUAUUGGGCAAUGGGAGAAAUCCUGACCCAGCGACGCCGCGUGAGUGAAGAAAUCCCUCGGGAUGUAAAGCUCUGUUGUGUGGGAAGAUAAUGACGGUACCACACGAGGAAGCCCCGGCAAACUACGUGCCAGCCGCCGCAGUAA
rnacentral:rRNA from 1 species